CUGGAGUGGGUGUGACAAGGGCGCCCCGGCUUACCGAGCAGGCCCCCGUAGGAAGACGUCUGCUUGGGCGGGACGCCGAAGAACAGCUGUCCUAUGCGGUCGAGGUACUGCAAGGCACAGGCAGCGGGCUCAGAGCGGGCGGACCCAGACCGUGGGAUCCCCUCCUCCCUCCCCAGCCCCAAGCCCUCACCUCGUUGUACAUGGGGUCCCGCCGGAGGGAUGGCUGGUACUGCUCACACAGCACAGUGAACACCGUCAGCUUCCCACUGGGACAGAGACACACAGGGAUGUGCUGGGUGAGCAGGACAGGACCACACUCACCUGCACACACCACCAUGCCCACACCCAACACUCCCCUGCACACACCACCACGCCCACACCCAACACUCACCUGGAACCGCCACGCCCACACCCAACACUCCCCUGCACACACCACCACUCACCUGCAACUGCCAUGCCUGCACCCAACACUCACCUGCACACACCACCACGCCCACGCCCAACACUCACCUGCAAACACCACGAUCGCGCCCAACACUCACCUGCAAACACCAUGCCUGCACCCAACACUCACCUGCACACACCACGCCCAACGCUCACCUGCAAACACCACGCCAACACUCACCCGCACACACCACGCCCGCGCCCAACACUCACCUGCACACACCACCCCUACACCCAACACUCACCUGCAACCACCAUGCCCGCACCCAACACUCACCUGCACACACCACCACGCCAACACCCAACACUCACCUGCACACACCACCACGCCCGCACCCAACACUCACCUGCACACACCACCACGCCCGCACCCAACACUCACCUGCACACACCACCAUGCCCGCACCCAACACUCACCAGCACACACCACGCCUGCGCACAACACUUACCUGCAGACACCGCCAUGCCUACACCCAACACUCACCCGCAACUACCACGCCUGCGCCCAACACUCACCUGCACACACCACCGCGCCCAACACUCACCUGCACACACCACCACGCCCACACCCAACACUUACCUGCAACCACCAUGCCCGUGCCCAACACUCACCUGCAACCACCACGCCCGCGCCCAACACUCACCUGCACACACCACUGCGCCCGCGCCCAACACUCACCUGCACACACGCCUACACCCAACUCACCUGCAAACACCACCACGCCCGCACCCAACACUCACCUGCAAACACCACCAUGCCCGUGCCCAACACUCACCUGCACACACCACGCCCAACACUCACCUGCAAAUACCCAACACCUACACACACCCAGCAACCCAUGCCACGUCUAUACCCAGUAUACACACCUGCACACCCCCACAGCUACCCACACGUCUAGACACAACACACAUACCUGCAUGCACCCCAACUACCCACACCAGACACACAACACCUGCACAUACGCCGUCUACACCUGCACUCACACCUGCAUAGACGUCUACACAGCCCCACACAUGGAUACCCAACACCCGCACACAACCCCCCAGACGUCUGCACCCACACCACCCCACACCUGCACACACCCACACUACCAGAGGCCCAACACCUACACUCCCCCACGCCAUGUCUACACUUGCACAUACACCCACACAGCUACCCGCACUACCAUGUCUACACCCAACAGACCUGCACACACACCCAUGCCACGUCUACACCCAGCACUCAUACCCUAUGCAUAUACCCACACGGCUACCCACACAAUGGCUACACUUGCACACACACCCACACAGCUAUCCACACCACCACGUCUACACACAACCUGCACAUUCACAGCCCCCUCCCCCUGCAGGAUCCCAAGACGCACCCGUCCACAGCCAGCAGCAGGAACCAGAUGAAGUUAAGCAGCGGCUCCACAAACGGAGGCCCGUCCUCGAUGGACGGGUGCUUCUGGGUGUACGUCGUGAAGACCACCGAUGCGCUACUUUUGUUUUUUAAACAGAGAAACCUGGAAAUGAGAACAUGCUGGUGG
rnacentral:lncRNA from 1 species